rnacentral:tRNA from 1 species
GAAGGUAUAGCUCAUGGGUAGAGUGCAUGCUUAGAAUGCAUGAAGUCCUGGGUUCAAUUCCCAGUACUUCUA